rnacentral:rRNA from 1 species
UACGGGGGGGCAAGCGUUGUUCGGAAUUACUGGGCGUAAAGGCUCGUAGGCGGCCAACUAAGUCGGACGUGAAAUCCCUCGGCUUAACCGGGGAACUGCGUCCGAUACUGGAUGGCUUGAGUUGGGAGAGGGAUGCGGAAUUCCAGGUGUAGCGGUGAAAUGCGUAGAUAUCAGGAAGAACACCGUGGCGAAGGCGGCUCUCUGGGACGGUACUGACGCUGAGACGCGAAAGCGUGGGGAGCGAACAGG